GAUGAACGCUAGCGGCAGGCCUAAUACAUGCAAGUCGAACGAGAUUAAGAGGCUUGCUUCUUAUGAAAGUGGCGCACGGGUGCGUAACGCGUAUGCAACCUACCUUAAUCAGGGGGAUAGCCCGAAGAAAUUCAGAUUAAGACCGCAUAAAAACACAGGAUAGCAUUAUCCAAUGUUCAAAUAUUUAUAGGAUUAAGAUGGGCAUGCGUGUCAUUAGCUAGUUGGCGGGGUAACGGCCCACCAAGGCGACGAUGACUAGGGGAUCUGAGAGGAUGACCCCCCACACUGGUACUGAGACACGGACCAGACUCCUACGGGAGGCAGCAGUAAGGAAUAUUGGUCAAUGGAGGGAACUCUGAACCAGCCAUGCCGCGUGCAGGAAGACAGCCCUCUGGGUCGUAAACUGCUUUUAUUCGGGAAUAAACCUUUCUACGUGUAGGAAGCUGAAUGUACCGAAGGAAUAAGGAUCGGCUAACUCCGUGCCAGCCGCCGCAGUAA
rnacentral:rRNA from 1 species